UUGUUUUCUUUUCAGGAUAGUUUUAGUGGGUAGAGGAUAGCUUCUUAGUCAUGAUAUUAAAAUUCUGUAAUGAAAAUUGAGAGACUGCUUUAAAGCUGAUUUUCCACAUGACUGGAGUCAUUUCUCUUUUCUAGUGUGAGAAUUGACAUAAUGCCAAACAUUUAUACUUAAUACAAUCACAUUAUGUCUUAAGUUCUCACUCAACUAACUCUACAUUUUUUAAGUUGAAGGAAAAGGUAACAAAUUCCACUGAAUUGCAACAUCAAUUAGAAAAAUCAAAGCAACAGCACCAAGAACAGCAAGCCCUUCAGCAAAGCACUACAGCCAAACUCCGAGAAGCUCAGAAUGAUUUAGAACAAGUGUUACGUCAGAUUGGAGAUAAGGACCAAAAGAUCCAGAACCUUGAAGCCUUACUACAGAAGAGUAAAGAAAAUAUUUCCUUACUAGAAAAGGAAAGAGAAGACCUUU
rnacentral:lncRNA from 1 species